GUGGGGAAUAUUGCACAAUGGGCGAAAGCCUGAUGCAGCAACGCCGCGUGAGGGACGACGGCCUUCGGGUUGUAAACCUCUUUUAGUAGGGAAGAAGCGAAAGUGACGGUACCUGCAGAAAAAGCACCGGCUAACUACGUGCCAGCAGCCGCGGUAAUACGUAGGGUGCAAGCGUUAUCCGGAAUUAUUGGGCGUAAAGAGCUCGUAUGCGGUCUGUCGCGUCUGCUGUGAAAACUGGAGGCUCAACCUCCAGCCUGCAGUGGGUACGGGCAGACUAGAGUGCGGUAGGGGAGAUUGGAAUUCCUGGUGUAGCGGUGGAAUGCGCAGAUAUCAGGAGGAACACCGAUGGCGAAGGCAGAUCUCUGGGCCGUAACUGACGCUGAGGAGCGAAAGCGUGGGGAGCGAACAGGAUUAGAAACCCCAGUAGUCC
rnacentral:rRNA from 1 species